rnacentral:rRNA from 1 species
AUUGAACGCUGGCGGAAUGCUUUACACAUGCAAGUCGAACGGCAGCACGGGGGCAACCCUGGUGGCGAGUGGCGAACGGGUGAGUAAUACAUCGGAACGUGCCCAGUCGUGGGGGAUAACGUAGCGAAAGUUACGCUAAUACCGCAUACGAUCUACGGAUGAAAGCGGGGGACCGUAAGGCCUCGCGCGAUUGGAGCGGCCGAUGUCAGAUUAGGUAGUUGGUGAGGUAAAGGCUCACCAAGCCGACGAUCUGUAGCUGGUCUGAGAGGACGACCAGCCACACUGGGACUGCGACACGGCCCAGACUCCUACGGGAGGCAGCAGUGGGGAAUUUUGGACAAUGGGCGCAAGCCUGAUCCAGCCAUUCCGCGUGCAGGACGAAGGCCUUCGGGUUGUAAACUGCCUUUGUACGGAACGAAAAGGCUCUGGUUAAUACCUGGGGCUCAUGACGGUACCGUAAGAAUAAGCACCGGCUAACUACGUGCCAGCAGCCGCGGUAA